rnacentral:rRNA from 1 species
GAUGAACGCUGGCGGCGUGCCUAAUACAUGCAAGUCGAGCGAACAGAUGAGGAGCUUGCUCCUCUGACGUUAGCGGCGGACGGGUGAGUAACACGUGGAUAACCUACCUAUAAGACUGGGAUAACUUCGGGAAACCGGAGCUAAUACCGGAUAAUAUAUUGAACCGCAUGGUUCAAUAGUGAAAGACGGUUUUGCUGUCAAUUAUAGAUGGAUCCGCGCCGCAUUAGCUAGUUGGUAAGGUAACGGCUUACCAAGGCAACGAUGCGUAGCCGACCUGAGAGGGAGAUCGGCCACCCUGGAACUGAGACACGGUCCAGACUCCUACGGGAGGCAGCAGUAGGGAAUCUUCCGCAAUGGGCGAAAGCCUGACGGAGCAACGCCGCGUGAGUGAUGAAGGUCUUCGGAUCGUAAAACUCUGUUAUUAGGGAAGAACAAAUGUGUAAGUAACUAUGCACGUCUUGACGGUACCUAAUCAGAAAGCCACGGCUAACUACGUG